rnacentral:rRNA from 1 species
UACGGAAGGUCCAGGCGUUAUCCGGAUUUAUUGGGUUUAAAGGGAGCGUAGGCCGCCUGGUAAGCGUGUUGUGAAAAAUACCGGCUCAACCGGUAUCCUGCAGCGCGAACUGCCUGGCUUGAGUGUGCGCAACGUUGGCGGAAUUCGUCGUGUAGCGGUGAAAUGCUUAGAUAUGACGAAGAACUCCGAUUGCGAAGGCAGCUGACGGGAGCACAACUGACGCUGAAGCUCGAAAGUGCGGGUAUCGAACAGGAUUAGAUACCCUGGUAGUCCGCACGGUAAACGAUGGAUGCCCGCUGUUUGUCCUGAUGGACAAGCGGCCAAGCGAAAGCGUUAAGCAUCCCACCUGGGGAGUACGCCGGCAACGGUGAA